CUUGGGCAUGUGUUGGAUUAGCUAAUUAGGAGUUUGCUUAAAUUACAUGAAUGAAUGGGGUUUAUCUUCUUUAAAUGAUUCAUUCUUGUCUGUAAAACGUGAUUAAAAGUAAAUUCAGAUGAAUUAUUAACAUACAGAUCAAUGCAAUGAGAAGUGGAUUAAUCAAAACAACGACCGUCUGUACUACGUCAUUGACCUGCAGCUGAUUGGACGAACGCGUCACGUGGGUCUAGGUACUCUCCUGAAUUUCAAAAGCAUAAUGGCGGCUCGUUCGGAGUGUACAAUCUCGUAUUUUACGAAAAUGGUUCAUCGAAACGUUUUUUUGAAGACAUUUUAAGCGAGAAAUAGGCUAUGCAGUUGCUGAAUCUGUCAUCGUUUCAGAUCCACAAAGGUCAGUUUGAAAGAUUUUCGUCAGAUUUUGAAAGGCGGGAAACGAGACGGCCGCUACUCAUUUGAAUACAGGUAGUUUGAUUCAACUAAUUCACCUAACAUGAGAAUGAGCGGGCGAAUCGAUGCUCCGCUUCUCGUGAAACUACCAGAAUGCAUUGCACAGCUGCUCCCUUGAAGCGUGGACGUGAGGCUGACUUUGAACUAACGUGAUUCAGGAGUCGGAUACAGCAGACACGGAUGACUAUCAAGCUGCAUGUUUCCCAUCCUCCAUCCACGUGUAAAUUAAGUCCAUUUCGAACAGGUUCUGUCCCUAUGCUUUGAGAGGUGUACCUCAUGAAAUACAUGACAGAAAUCAAGAAGAGGAACAAUGAGCAUAUCGUGAAGUUGAAAAUGGAGAAGACUUUCUCAUACAGGAAGCAAGAAAUCCUUAAAGGAGAGCCUUUGAUUGCAGACUUCAAAAGCAGAUGGCCAGCUCUGGUCACUGCGAAAGAGAUCGAUAGGGAGUUCCAUCGCAUAUCAACUUUACCUCUACUUUCUACAUUCUGUGCUGCUUUUGACCAGUACUCUACAUGUCUGAUGGAGAUAUUUGAAUGCAAAGGUGGAGCAGCUGGAAGAAAAAUCAGAAAUGUCAUGGCGGAGACUUCCAAGAGUGUACAGCACAGCUGGAAAGAAUACUAAAAUAUUCUACUCAAUUAAAGGACGACACAAUUCAAACGAGACGAGCAUGUGUCCUCAAGUCCUUGUGCAUCUACUUGAAAGAAGACAACGAGAAACUUGUGAAGGAUUAUAAGAACACAGACCUCGAGGCCAGUGCUUCCAUGGAGCAAACUGUGAUGGGGGUGUAUGUCAUACAGAAGGAGGGUGCGGAGCCUGAAGAUAAGCCAGAGGACAUUGGUGUCCUGAUCGAAGGUGUGGAGGUCCUCCGUGAGUUAGGAAAUAUUAUGGACGCCUGUGCUUUGUUAUUUGGACUAAUAUACUGUCUGAACCUAAGUUACCCAGCAGACCUCAAAUGCACCUUUGAAUCUGCAAAUACCGAUCUCAUACCAGUGUUUUUAAAAAUGUUUACAUUUCAUUGUUUUAACAGCUGUACUGCCUGUAUUGAUGUGACCAGUAUUGCAAUCUUGUAUGGUAAAUUGUUCCCAGUUUAGUAGCAAAAUGCUACAAUUGGCUGCAUGUGUACUUCAGACAAAAUGUUUUAUAAAAAGCACUGUUGCAUAAAUAAAAAUGUAAAAUGGA